rnacentral:rRNA from 1 species
ACGUAGGGGGCUAGCGUUGUCCGGAAUCAUUGGGCGUAAAGCGCGUGUAGGCGGUCCGGUAAGUCCGCUGUGAAAGUCGGGGGCUCAACCCUCGGAUGCCGGUGGAUACUGUCGGGCUUGAGUUCGGGAGAGGUGAGUGGAACUGCGAGUGUAGAGGUGAAAUUCGUAGAUAUUCGCAAGAACACCAGUGGCGAAGGCGGCUCACUGGCCCGAUACUGACGCUGAGGCACGAAAGCGUGGGGAGCAAACAGGA